rnacentral:rRNA from 1 species
GGUUAAGUGACUAAGCGUACACGGUGGAUGCCUUGGCAGUCAGAGGCGAUGAAAGACGUAGUAACUUGCGAUAAGCCCAGAUUAGGUAGUAACAACCAUUUGAGUCUGGGAUUUCUGAAUGGGGAAACCCACGUGCAUAAGCACGUAUCCUUACCUGAAUACAUAGGGUAAGGAGGCGAACCGGGGGAACUGAAACAUCUAAGUACCCCGAGGAAAAGAAAUCAACCGAGAUUCCGAAAGUAGCGGCGAGCGAAAUUGGACUAGCCCUUAAGCUUUACACGCGUUAGACGAACGGUCUGGAAAGUCCGACGAUACAGGGUGAUAGUCCCGUAGUUGACGACGUGUGUUCAGUGAAAUCGAGUAGGGCGGGACACGUGAUAUCCUGUCUGAAUAUGGGGGGACCAUCCUCCAAGGCUAAAUACUACUGACUGACCGAUAGUGAACCAGUACCGUGAGGGAAAGGCGAAAAGAACCCCUGUGAGGGGAGUGAAAUAGAACCUGAAACCGUGUACGUACAAGCAGUAGGAGCAGGCUUUGUCCUGUGACUGCGUACCUUUUGUAUAAUGGGUCAGCGACUUAUAUUCAGUGGCAAGGUUAACCAUCUAGGGGAGCCGUAGGGAAACCGAGUCUUAACUGGGCGUUCAGUCUCUGGAUAUAGACCCGAAACCAGGUGAUCUAGCCAUGGGCAGGUUGAAGGUUGAGUAACAUCAACUGGAGGACCGAACCGACUAAUGUUGAAAAAUUAGCGGAUGACUUGUGGCUAGGGGUGAAAGGCCAAUCAAACCUGGAGAUAGCUGGUUCUCCCCGAAAGCUAUUUAGGUAGCGCCUCGGACGAAUACUACUGGGGGUAGAGCACUGUUAAGGCUAGGGGGUCAUCCCGACUUACCAACCCUUUGCAAACUCCGAAUACCAGUAAGUACUAUCCGGGAGACACACGGCGGGUGCUAACGUCCGUCGUGGAGAGGGAAACAACCCAGACCGCCAGCUAAGGUCCCAAAUUACUACUAAGUGGGAAACGAUGUGGGAAGGCUCAGACAGCCAGGAUGUUGGCUUAGAAGCAGCCAUCAUUUAAAGAAAGCGUAAUAGCUCACUGGUCGAGUCGGCCUGCGCGGAAGAUGUAACGGGGCUAAGUAGUAAACCGAAGCUGCGGCAAUGUGCUUUUGCACAUUGGGUAGGGGAGCGUUCUGUAAGCGGUUGAAGGUGUGUGGUAACGCAUGCUGGACGUAUCAGAAGUGCGAAUGCUGACAUGAGUAACGAUAAAGGGGGUGAAAAACCUCCUCGCCGGAAGACCAAGGGUUCCUGUCCAACGUUAAUCGGGGCAGGGUAAGUCGACCCCUAAGGCGAGGCCGAAAGGCGUAGUCGAUGGGAAACGGGUUAAUAUUCCCGUACUUCUUACAAUUGCGAUGGGGGGACGGAGAAGGCUAGGUGGGCCUGGCGACGGUUGUCCAGGUUCAAGUGCGUAGGCUUAAGAGUUAGGUAAAUCCGGCUCUUUUUAAGGCUGAGACACGAUGUCGAGCACCUACGGGUGUGAAGUCAUUGAUGCCAUGCUUCCAGGAAAAGCCUCUAAGCUUCAGAUUGUAAGGAAUCGUACCCCAAACCGACACAGGUGGUCGGGUAGAGAAUACCAAGGCGCUUGAGAGAACUCGGGUGAAGGAACUAGGCAAAAUGGUACCGUAACUUCGGGAGAAGGUACGCUCUUGAUGGUGAAGUCCCUCGCGGAUGGAGCUGACGAGAGUCGCAGAUACCAGGUGGCUGCAACUGUUUAUUAAAAACACAGCACUGUGCAAAAUCGUAAGAUGACGUAUACGGUGUGACGCCUGCCCGGUGCCGGAAGGUUAAUUGAUGGGGUUAGACUUCGGUCGAAGCUCUUGAUCGAAGCCCCGGUAAACGGCGGCCGUAACUAUAACGGUCCUAAGGUAGCGAAAUUCCUUGUCGGGUAAGUUCCGACCUGCACGAAUGGCGUAAUGAUGGCCACGCUGUCUCCACCCGAGACUCAGUGAAAUUGAAAUCGCUGUGAAGAUGCAGUGUACCCGCGGCUAGACGGAAAGACCCCGUGAACCUUUACUACAGCUUGGCACUGAACAUUGACCCUACAUGUGUAGGAUAGGUGGGAGGCUUUGAAGCAGGUACGCCAGUAUCUGUGGAGCCGUCCUUGAAAUACCACCCUUGUAGUGUUGAUGUUCUAACGUCGACCCCUUAUCGGGGUUGCGGACAGUGCCUGGUGGGUAGUUUGACUGGGGCGGUCUCCUCCCAAAGAGUAACGGAGGAGCACGAAGGUGGGCUAAUCACGGUUGGACAUCGUGAGGUUAGUGCAAUGGCAUAAGCCCGCUUGACUGCGAGAAUGACAAUUCGAGCAGGUGCGAAAGCAGGUCAUAGUGAUCCGGUGGUUCUGAAUGGAAGGGCCAUCGCUCAACGGAUAAAAGGUACUCCGGGGAUAACAGGCUGAUACCGCCCAAGAGUUCAUAUCGACGGCGGUGUUUGGCACCUCGAUGUCGGCUCAUCACAUCCUGGGGCUGAAGUCGGUCCCAAGGGUAUGGCUGUUCGCCAUUUAAAGUGGUACGCGAGCUGGGUUUAGAACGUCGUGAGACAGUUCGGUCCCUAUCUGCCGUGGGCGUUGGAAGAUUGAAGGGGGCUGCUCCUAGUACGAGAGGACCGGAGUGGACGAACCUCUGGUGUUCGGGUUGUGUCGCCAGACGCAUUGCCCGGUAGCUAAGUUCGGAAUCGAUAACCGCUGAAAGCAUCUAAGCGGGAAGCGAGCCCUGAGAUGAGUCUUCCCUGAUACUUUAAGUAUCCUAAAGGGUUGUCGGAGACUACGACGUUGAUAGGUCAGGUGUGUAAGUGCUGUGAGGCAUUGAGCUAACUGAUACUAAUUGCCCGUGAGGCUUAACCAU